CCGCUCUCACCUCGGAGCUGGCAGCGCCCCAGCGCCCAGAUGGCGGCGGCCAGCAGCAGCCCGCGGUGAGACCAAUAUGUUCACUGCUGGCUGAUAGAGGUGCACCACAUUAGGACUCCAGAACAGAUCCAGGCUGUACAAUUGUCAGCCUCCUGCAAUUACCUUCUUCCACCCUGAAAAAAAGGAUGUGUAAAAGGUUAACCAGAAGAUCAAUAAAUCCAAUCCAAGUGCAAGUAUCCACUCUGCCAUUGUAUGACUGAGGAUAUGAAGCAAAAUGGACCUAUGGUCUAAACUAAUAAACCACCACUACACAUACAAGCACUACAAUCCAAGCAAACCUCAAGGAGGAAUUUUUCUUUUUCCAUACCUAUUAUAUCCCAAGCACUGUUCUUUCAUCCCACCACUGUGAGAACCCCUAUAAAUUACAAGGAAAGUUUGCAGCCAUUGAGGGGGAUUUCCCAAUUGUUUGUUCUCGUAUGCUCCAAACUUCUCAAAGGAAAACAAUUCCUCUAUACCAGCUUGCAAACUUUCCCACAAAGUCCCAAGGUCAUGAUGAAAAGUUACCACAGAAGGCUGACCCAGCACAAAUUCUCAGAAGAAUUCACACAGGCUUUCAUGAGGGGUGAGAGUUUCAAACAGGUCAUCAUUCUACUAAAUGAAGAUUUUCUGAUGAAGAUGGGUCUAAUAUUACUAAAUGGACAGCUGUACUCAUUUCCUUCCACACUUCCCUGCAAUUAAAGCCAUGAAAUAAACUUUGCUCAGCAGACAGGACAUGUUUCAAAGGUGAACUGAAAGCAUACUUUUAUUUGAACCAGUGCAGGCAUCAGUUUAUGUAGGAGCAUCAAAACCAGGCUUACUUUCUAUAAUAUUCAACAUUACUGCAUAGCAUAAAUGUCAUGUCUGAUGUGGUUCUCCAUAUUCAUCUUUUAUAAAUGUCCUUCAUUAAAUUUUUAUAGUGUAAUAAGAAGAGGCAGCAUGUCAGAGCUGUUAGCAAGUUAUUUGACCUGAAUCUUCCCUUGCAUAAACGUAAAACAAAUAAGUUAGUGAAAAUAUGGUAUAAAGGUGAUAAGAAAACAGCAGUCUAGUUAUUUAAAAAAGAAAAACUAAGAUAACCUUUUAAGAAAAUCUUUGAAGUGUUUCUUUAUGUCAAAUCUCAGAAAUUGACAAUCUCUUGUUUAUAUCUUAAUUUUUUCAUCACUGAUAGUAGAAGAAACUUAGUGCUUUUCCCAGUGAAGUUAAUGAAAAACUACUGAUUCCUAUGGAAAGCCAUUUGCUUCAGUGACAGAAAGAAGAGCCUAAUAUCAACACUUAGAUAACCAUAGGUGCAUCCAAUAUUCUUUUGAAAGGUGUCAAGGCAGCAGCUUCAGCUGUUACCUUUGAUGUACCUGUGCAGUACUGAAUGUAAUGCUAAAGAAUCUCCACUGAUCAGAUAGAUGCUGCAUGAGCUGUCUAGUUAUCCUAAUUUUUUAUGAUGUUGGUAUGGUUUGUAUACAAUAUAGCUGUUGGUUCUUGGAUAACAUAGGAAUUUCAUUACUAUGUCCAGUGAUUGCAUUUCCUUUGUUUCCCUUUUAUCCUAGAAAAGGAGGAAAAAAGCUUUCUAAAAGGCACACCUGUUUGAGAAGCAAUACAAGUAAAUGAGCAAAACAAUUGAGUAUCAAACAACAAAGUGCAGUCAUUUCCAGACUUGCUAACUUAAGAUAUGAUUAAUGGAACAAUUUCACUGUGUACCCAGAUUUUCAUUUAAUUUCCUGCUUAAGGCACAAGAUACAUAGUAAAUUCUAGUUUUUUAUGCACCAUUAUGGAGAAUAAAUUAUUAUAGGUUUCAUAGAAUGAUAAGAGAAGUAAUACUGCAAUUAUUUGUAGAGAUAUAUAAAAAUAAUUUGUGUUUUUUAUUUUGAACAUGCAUUAUUGCAUUUUAAAUGUUAAUUUUACAAGCUCUAAAUCUUACAUUACAUGUAAGUGUUGAUAAUCCUGCAUUAGAGGUAACAAAAAGAUUAAAUGCCUAUAGCACUUAGUACCAGAAAAGAUUUUUUCUAUGCAUCUAUAGCAAGGACUAUAUGACACCAUGAUGUGAUUUUGAUAGUAAUUUAUGUGGCAGUUGGAGGGACUGGCCAGGAUGUAUUCAUUAGGAUUUCACUAUACAGGGUGAGAAUCAACAAAUGGUUCAAGAAACUAGGCUGCAGAUAAUAGACUAAAAGGCAAAUUUGAAAUAGAUAAAUGCAUGUAGAGAAGCAGCACUUAAAAUAUGAAAUAGAACACCAGUUUAAAAUUCAGUUAUUCAACUGAAUAAAUGAAUAACCUUUUAUUCAGCCAAGUAAACCUUUGCAAGUAUAUCUAACACUUAAAAGUUUCUGCUUUUUAAAGCAGAAUAACAAAAAAUACUGUGUAAAUGGUACUUCAAUGUAUAAUUCAGAUUUCACCAUUAAAAUCAUUUCCAUUUCAUUA